CGAGGUCCAAUUUGCCAGCCGUCAUCACGUAAAAACGAUGAAUCAAAGAAUUCAACUUUAUAUAUAACUAAUAUAGUACAAUGGUGUUGAUUAAAAAUUACACCACUCUAGGCCCAUUUGUUUUCCACGUAAUUAAUAUUGCCAAUAAUUAAGAAGUUCCGGAUCGAGUCCGACACCGAUAUCAAUAGUAUAUUCACCUGUUACCUAUUACCUUAUCUGUACGUUCCGCAUCUGAUAGGCGCACCUCCAAACAGUGUAUUUAGAAUUUUGCUGUAUACUGUUGAGUAAAAAAUACUCCAUUCCAGGCCCUUUUGUUUUCCAAAUUAUUAAUAUUACCAAUAAUUGAUAGGUUCCAGGUAGACGUGUUCAAACAGAAAGAUUUUGAAAGCAGAGAAAACUGUGCACCUUAUACAUGUUAUAAUCGGCAUGACUUUAUCAGAUGACAAUACCAAUACCAAAAUAAGGCAUACGCAAAGUUAUAUAUCAGUCACGAACCCGCGAUAUCACGGGUGUGUUCUAGUUGUAAUUAA
rnacentral:lncRNA from 1 species